rnacentral:rRNA from 1 species
CAGUCGCCGCGGGAAUACGAAGGGGGCUAGCGUUGCUCGGAAUGACUGGGCGUAAAGGGCGCGUAGGCGGAUUGCGCAGUCAGAUGUGAAAUUCCUGGGCUUAACCUGGGGGCUGCAUUUGAGACGCGUAGUCUAGAGUGUGAAAGAGGGUCGUGGAAUUCCCAGUGUAGAGGUGAAAUUCGUAGAUAUUGGGAAGAACACCGGUGGCGAAGGCGGCGACCUGGUUCAUAACUGACGCUGAGGCGCGAAAGCGUGGGGAGCAAACAGGAUUAGAUACCCCCGUAGUCCCUGUCUCUUAUAC